UUUUUUUUUUUUUUUUUAAUAAUUUCACAGAGAUAUUGUAUAUAGCUGAAAUGUUUGGUUUGGUUUUUUUGUUGGUUUUUUUUUUAAGAAUAAAAAACAAAACUGUAUUUUUCCAGUACAGUAAAUAAUGCAUAAAUUUUAUGUAAAUGUAGCUGUUUAAUUCAGCCCUUAGAGUGUCCUGGUAUAUUUUCAGCAUGUGCACAUCUCUUAAGUAUACUGUUUUCCUUGCUAUAAGGUUAAUAUUAGUUAGAAAUGGAGACCUGCUGGAGAUAACACCAAUUGCAGAUGAGCUUAGCUAAAAGCAAAAGCUACAGUCUCUCAGAUAAUACCACAAGACAGCUUGAAAGGCUAAUAUAUCAUGCAAAUGGUGGACUAGAAUCACUUAGGCAUGGAUGGUCUGUGGGCUGUACAGAAGGAGUGAAUCUUUCUGCAUUCAGCUGCGCGUGUGUGUGUGCACCUCGCUCCCCCUCCACCUGCUCCUCUCCCUCUGUCUCUCCCAGACAGGCGAACAGACCUGCUCCUUCCUUUGUGUUGCCAGUCAGGUCCUCCCUCUGCAGUCUUACACAGGAAGAAGAUUUAUAACAGCUGCAUGCAAUGCCAGUGUCUCAAAGAGACAGUAUCACGCCAUGUGGAGGAUUUUUGUUUGGGGUUUAAGUUUUCUCCACUGAAUUGGAAAGGUACAUUUUUAAAAUCCUAAAUAUUUUAAACACUUAAUUCCUGUAGCUUUUAUUUGCUGGUAAAUUCUGACCUCCAAAUCUUUAAAUCACAAUCUGUUGUCACAGUAUUGUAAUGGCUGUGAUGUCUUAAUUGAAAACAUGAGGAUGUAAGGAUUUCAAAAGUAUAAUUAGGGUACAUUUCAAUGUGAAGCUGUAAGUGUUGUUCCGUAAGAUGGGCAUCUGAUAUUUCUGACAUACUGUAUCAGAAAUAUAAGAUUCAAACUAAAAAAUGAAAAUACAGCACACAUGCAGUGCAACUGUGUACCAUAUGUUAAGAAAUGUGCACCUCUUAAACAUUGGACUAAUUAGCUAGAGAAAACAGAGAUGUCUGAAUAAUGAUGCUCGAAAUAAGAAGGAUAAUGAAAUCUUGAGACAGACUUGUGUAGGAGAUCCACCUGGCAGCAACUUGCCAGGUUUAGCAAAUUAAAUGAAAUCAAAGGAAAAUUUAUAGUUGUGAAAAAAUGAAUGUAAAAGCACUACUUCUCUUUGUUUUAAGCUCUUGGUGGCCUGCUUCUUACCUUCCUGAUUAGUGGCAUUUAUUAUAAUUAAUGGUGAGUGAAGCAUCAGAGUCAGAGAAGCCCAAAAGCUUAGACAUGUUCCCUAGGCUUGGAGAAAAUUUCUAUGAAAUUUGACAAGGGAUAGUUUCUUGGGGUAUCUUUCUUUCCAGGUACUAGGAAGAAUACAAAAUUAAAAUAAAUUUCCUUUUGGCAUUUCACCUCUUAGCCUCCCUACUUCUCAAAAAUUAAUAGACAAAGUUGAAUUAUUUGAUUUCAAGAAAUCCCUUAAAGGGCUAGCCCUUGUUAGUGUCUAGGUUCAAUAUAAAUAGCAGAUUCCUUUUUCAGAGGAUCAUACAAUCUGGAAAUAUAAACCCUGGAAAAAAAAAUCAGGAAUAGAGGCAGUUGCACUAUAAGAAGUAAAACAUUUGCAGCAGGCCAUGGUAGGGAAGAAUCUGUAUCUAGUUCUUCUAACUCAAAUACAUGCUCUAGUUUCCUUCUUCUACCCUGUUUUAUCUCAUCCCCUAAGCAGCAAAUCUAAACAUGUUGCUCAGGAUUUGCCUUAGGACUUCUCUUCCCAGGAUCAAUGAGCUCCAGAAGAGUGUUCACCAAAUUCACUUGCUGUUGAUUUUCAGUGGCAGGAGGUCCAAGACAUGCUUACUCUUCUAUUUGGAGAAAUAUAACCAAGAUUUAAUUCCACUAUUCACUCAUGCCUGAAAUAUUUCCUCUGGUUUUCUCAAAUGUUAGUAUGUCCACCCAGAACCUCUUUUGUUGCCUUUGAGAUCUACUAUUACCCAGUAUUUUCAUUACAACGCUUACUGUUGUUCCUCCUGAUAACCAGCGUCCUUGCCCUUCAACUUCUACAGCUAAUCCACUGGUAGUUUUGGUUGAUGGAGCCUGCAAAUGGGCUGACAUAAAGGAUUCCUGUCCCAGUCGCAUGUUAAGUUCAUAUGCUUACAGCUGUUUAAUCUGUAACACUAACUGUAUCCAUUCUAGUGUGCCAGGAAUAUAUAUAUAUUUAUAUAUAUACUAUAUUUACCCAGCUUGGAGUAACAUUAGCAAAAGUGCUAUGGCAUCAGGGAAUUGUCUGCUCCCUCACUACUAUACAAUUUGUUGUUGUUGUUGUUGUUUAAGGAAGCUUAGAGCUGAUAACAGAAAGGCUUCCACAGAAUGAGCUUGUAACCUAACAGCCUCCAGAAACUGUUCAUAGCUGUGGUCUGCUAUUUUGUUUUUAGUGUAGGACAUAAUUUUCUCCCCUGCUAAUUAAAUCUGAACUAUUCACAUUAAGUUCUUUCUGCAAAGUAAUCUAAUCCAACGCAUAAAUCUAUGCACACUAUUUACAUAUGAAAUGAAACCUCAACAUUUUUUAAGUUUACAUGUACACCAUGGUGGUUAGAUGUCAUUUUUGAUAUAGGAAACAGUAUUCAUACUUUCCCUUUUCCUCUCUGGUCCACUGAGGUUUACACUGACUAAAUAUGUCACAACUUUUGAGAACUUCUUGGGACAAGAUUCGGACAGCAUCUCAUUGAAAUCUGUACUGAAAAGGUGAUGGUGCUUCCUUGAGAAGUACCAAACACAGCAAACAACAAGGAGGGGCAGAGGCUAUACAAAAGGCUUCAGUGUGCAUGUACCUGUACAAAUACAGAGACACAAUGUCUAAGCAUGCAUUAAGCCUGUAUAGCCAUAAUGCUAUGUAAAGAGAGCUUGACUUCCAGCACUGGACCUCUGGUUAUGACACUGCUUGACAGCUAACAGACUUCGUUCUCCUCGGUUUGCCUGGUCUUAACUAGCACACUGCCAGACAAUGCCCAGUCACGGGGAUAGCAUUUGCAAGGAAUCUCUCCCAAUACCCAACAUCACCCUUGAUGGUUUCUCUGAAACUAUCUCUGAAGGUUUGGGACCUUGACACACACCUCCUCCCACACACACAACAUGCAGCAAAUUCUGUUCCAUAGUAGAAAACCUUCUGUGUUAAAAGCUGCAAUAUGACCCUCACAUUAUUUCAGACACUUUGUCCCCUUGGGGUGACACUCAAGGCCAAGUGUUAUGUAUUACGCCUGCAGCCAUUGUGUGCCAUUUAGCCUCGCAGCCAGAAAACAGCCCUUAGCCCUAUUUUAUCUAUUGAUGUAUAUAGCCAACAAGACUUUCUGAGUUAAAAGUUAGGGAACACUGAAUGAGUGCAGUGUUGAGCCAGGAGAAAAAAGGAAAACUAAACAAAUGGCCAAUGUCUCAUGUAUUUGUCAGCAAGGUUAAAAAAAAGGUACAGACCAUAUGAGAGAAAAAUGUUUGCUUCCCUCUGUGCCUCAAAGCACCAAAAUAUCUCAGUGGAAUAAACUGAGUUUUUCUACAGACUUGUCACACCACAACAAAAUGCUUAAUCUCCAGAGAAAUCACAGUCAGGCAGCUAAUGCUCAGUUGUCUAGGAGAAUAUUCAUGUUCAAGUACAAGAGUACAGUCAAAGAACAAAGACCUUCCCAUGCAGUUUAUGGUGAUGAAUGCAAUGAUAUAAGUUCCCUCUUUCAAUGUCAGAGAUAAAUAUGGUGUUUAGAAAGGGGAAAGAAAAAAACAACCACUUCACAACCUUAAACCUCAUCCUACAGGAAGUUUGGAUUAAAGUGUACUGAUUAAAUAUAUACAGCUGCAAGACCAUCAGUGAUGCCACCAAUGUGCUUUAUAUGAGAUAUGGAAAUAUUUAGCCAGUCUUAGUCUCAACUAGAGGAUGUGAGCUGAAUUUUGAGGCAACAAUAUAUGGGAAUGCAUAUAAUUCUAGAAAUUCCACAUAAGAAUAAAAUCUCUUAUGGCUCACAACAUGUAACAAGAAAUGCUAGCAAUGCUAUAGUGUUUGCAAAUAGGGUUUGUAAAAGAAAUGAAGCUGUGCAAUAGAAAGUUAUUGGCCCAUCAAACUAAACUAUUGAGACUGUAACCUCAGCAAGGACUUAGCUGAUUCCAAUCAUCAAAUGUACUGUUGGCAAUGACUGAUAUAGACACAGCAUUAAAAAUUGUGUUAGGUAAUGUCCAAAAGACAAAAUAUGUCGUAUGUACUGAUACAUACUUGAGAACAAAUAGUAUCAAAUACUACUAUACAAAACACUAUAGUAGCAUAUCAAUUCAGAAUACAACCCAGAAUGCUCAUAAAUAAAACUUCAACCCGUGUUCAUAAAACUGCUAAAAGUAGCAUCAUGCUCUUCAUGUUCUUCAUGUAGUUAAGACAUGUACAACAAUUGUGUUGUAGUCCCAUGAAAUCUGUAACUCACAGUUGCAGAGGUUAAAAAGUUCUUUUCGAAACAGCCACAGAUAAUAGUCAAAUACUCCUUCAUCAAGUCUGGGAAGUUUAAAAUUCCAUUCUUAUAAUCUAGAUGGUUCCAAUAUGUUAAAAUUGUUGAUAAAUCAGGGCAUUAUGCACUUUUGGAAAACAGCACCAAUGAAGAAUUCUUUCACAUAAAAAGAAAAAGAGUACACAAAACAAGUUUCUAUAAGUUUCAGAAAUAAAAGUUUGUGUUUUUUCUUUUAAUAAUGAUAUAAGAUACUUUAGGUUGGAAGGCACUUCAGGAAAGAUUUAGGGUAAAAUCUUGCUCUAAAUAGAGUUGCAUAGAGAUUUACACAACCUGGUCUUGAAAACAUCAAAGUAGAGUUUGUAUACCCUCUCUAAGUAACCUACUUCACUUAUUGGGUGUCCUCAUGCGUUAUACCCAGCUGGAAACAUUAUUUUUCUCAUUCAUGUCUAUAGUUUCUUGUUCUCUUGACAGGCAUCACAGGAAAACCUGUAACAGUCGUUUUAUAACCUCCUCCUAGGUAGUGGAAGGCUUCUGGACCCCUCAAAACUGUGUCUUCCUCAGACUGGAAAAUUCUAUUUCCUUCUUCAAGGGCUUUUGUUCCCUAAGUCUGUUGUCCAUUCAUCCCAUAGGUUCCUCCAAAUGGCAGCCUGCCCCUCAAGUCCUUCAGCUGUAGCCUCCAUAUGCAUUUCAUCUGAAAAUGAAAAUAUUGAUGAAAAUCACAUGGUUCCUCUGUUUCAGGUUCCCAGAAGUAUGUUCCUAGAGUAUUUGCUCUGGAUAUUUGCUAGGGAUUGAAGUAAGGCUGAGCUGUCUUUAGUUCUCUGGGUUGUCCUUUUGGAACCUUUAUAAAGUUUUAAUACAGCUUGUCAGACCUAUGAGUGUUUAUGAGUUGAGUUCUCAUAAGUAGUUUCUGACUUGAUCUUUAUCCACUGCUGUUCUUCCCUCUCUUCUCUCACAUUAAGCACACAGGCCUCAAAGAAUAAGACCCUGAGAACUUCUGCCUUACCAAUUGCUGAAGGCCACUGUUGCUGAAUCAGCCUUUUUAUUCAGCAAUCAGUGCAUACAUUUUCCUUUGUCAAGCUUUUAUCAGUAAUGUACAAGUUCUUCUUGUUGCCUUGAUGUCCCUGGCAAGCCUUGAUUCCAUUUGAGCUUUGGUUUCCCUGACACCAUCACUGCAUACUAAUGCAAUGUUUCAGAAAUUCCUCUGAAGCCUAUCCUUGCUUCCAUCUCCUUUAUGUUGCCUUUUCCAGUGGAUCUCUGUCUUGAGCUGGUCUAUUGAUAAAUGUACUUGAUUUCCUGACUAUCAGCAUGAACAUUCAUAGGCUCGAAAAGUGAUGUCCUUACAGACUUGCUAGAUUCCUUGAACUCAUUGGCUUGUCAGAGCUGCCUCCCAUAGAAUCCUACCUUUCAACUCCCCAGAUAAGCUGAAGUCUGCCCUCCUAAAGUACAGGCUCUUUACUGCACAGCUUGCCUUCCUCUGCCUCCUCAGGAUUUUGAACUCCACGGUUUUGGUGUCGUUACAGCCAUGGUUUCUAUUGAUUAUCAUAGUCCCAAAGAGCUGUUGCUAGCUAGUGAAUGCCAGAGUCACCGUGUUGGCCCUUCCAGUCUCUGUAUCAUGAGUUUACCUCAAAUACAAUCCAGAAGCCUCCUGGAUAGCUUGCUUCUCACCACAGUGUCCUUCCAACAUAUGUUAAAGUUCCUAUAAGAACCACCAUCAUAGGAUCCAAAGACUUUGUUGAAUGUUUUAAGUAAGCUU
ensembl:lncRNA